ACUUUUCAUCCCAUUUGCAUUAUUCUCCUUGUUCUUUCACCUACAGGGUUUGGUUCCUGCAGCACACCAAAGCCUUCAUAUUCAGAGCAGUGAAACCAUUUUUAUCUAUGCUUUGUCUGACUCUGGUUGAUUUUCUUGCAACCUGAGCUCAGUGUAAAGCCUCCUUCUCCUUCCAGAGAUGGGAAGUUCACACAAAUCUGCAAAUUCACACAAAUCUGGUAUUGUGAGUGUUCCUGCAAUGAAGUACCAUGGAACAGGACUUCUUUUCAGUCUGGAGAUACAAGUCUUGAGAUUCUAGUCUUACUGACCUUGCACUGACAACCAGCCAGCUAAUUCUGAUUGACCAGUAUCAUCUUCACAAAGAAAUGACGAUUUCAAGACCCUUUUUUCUCCAGAAUCAGUCAAAAGCUGCUGAAAGGCUUCUGCUGCCGACCAUCUGCAGCUGCUGUCGGUCAGGCAUUGAUUUGACCUCUGAGGGACAGAAAUUCAUUCUGUUCCCUGCCUGCUCGUUCAAGGCUUUUUAUCCUGGCAUUUAAAUUGGAUUUUAUUCAAUUUUAUUUAAAUCCACUGUAUCAACACUUAAUGAACAGAAGCCCUCCCACUCUGCUCUGUGGCAUCCCAUUGUAUAGCAGCCUUUUAUUCUUGUGUGUGUGCUAUGCAUAUUCAUGUCCCUUAAUCUUUCAUGCUAAUGUGCAUUUCCCUUUCCCUUUCUUUUUCUCUUCUUGAUUAUCAUUAAAUACCUGGAUGAUACUUAAAUCAGUCAGAAAAGCCCUGAGAAAUGCCACAUACUGGAGAACAAAUAGUUUAUGUUUAAAAAGCCCUGAGCAUGGGAAUAUCUGCUUUUCAGGCUGAGGGGCUGUUCUGGCCAGCUCUGAAAAAAAAAGAGAUCUCUUGAGAGAAAUAGAUUUAUGGUGCUGGUGGUGUUUUGAUUUUGAACUUUGAUAUUGAAAUUGGAGGUUCAGAAAUGAAUCCUGUCUUCUCUGUAGUUCGUCUCUGCCCUGACAUGAUAAUGGGUCACUUGGAACAAUCAGCUGGCUUCAUUAAUUAUUAAUCCUCACACAUGGCAAAAGCAAUCUGGAGAUUGGCUGGAUGUGUGGGGGUCUGUUUAUGGAAAUGUAAAGGGGGCAAUUAUCAGUCUGAAAAUAAAUGAGGGUGGCAAGUGCCCA
rnacentral:lncRNA from 1 species